UAUAUAUAUAUAUAUAUAUAUAUAUAAUUGUAAAUAUUUCUUAACUUCUAAGUAUAUUGCACACAAAAUGUGUUUCCUUUGCUUCAUUUCUAGUCAAAUCAAAUUGGUGUGCCAGACAUCAGCAUGUUGAUCCUUUAAAUGUUGAGAAGUGAAAACUAUGUUAGUAAACAACUAGUUGCUAUAUGCUUUUCUCGAGCUUGAAUUGUUUACAUUACCAGUAAAUGACCAAGUCUUUUUCAAAACUAUAUAUGUCAGACAAUUAUCACCAAUAUGUUUAUCUAUCUUUGUUUAACACUCUGAUUAUUCU